rnacentral:rRNA from 1 species
GGGGACGAUUUUGGCAGAGGGAAAGUUUGAGAACUGGGCAUUCCGUCCGCUCUGCCAUACAUUAAGCAGUUGAACGGCAGAUUAGAACUACGGUGGGUGACCACGUGGGAAUCCCUGCUGUUGUACGUU